rnacentral:lncRNA from 1 species
GGCACUCUGAUAAGAGGUAGCCAGAAUUCUCUUAUCUGGAGAGACGUGGGAGGACCAAAAUAACAUCUUGUCAGCCUGGAUAAGACUCUACCUUAGCAGAGAUCUCUUUAUGGACAAGAUGAAUGGAAGGAUCCUAUUUGGGACCUGAAAUAAUCACAUUCAGGAGCUGCUCUUGGUUCUCUGACUCCUCCGUGGCGUAAGUGGGGUCCCCUCCUUGGAGGUGGCUCCCUCCGUCACACGAUUUCCUGGCCCUCCCCUGGCUCAGGGAAUUCCUCCACGAUUCGUCUCCCUCCCUUCUUCCUCGCCAGGCCUCCUCCCUGGGUCUCCAUCAUCUCCGGUUUACUCCUUGCCUCACCCGUCUCAUCAAGCCUUUUGGAUUGCUCGAUGCAGAAGGCGCUCUGUGCUCAGCUCCUAUGAAUUGUCUCCACGUGCCAGGCCAAAGGUAGGUACAAGAGGCCAGGAGCUGGGACAUCUGCUGUGCAAGUCAAAGUCAACAAUGUCUUUGAAGCCACCAGUGGGGCAAGAGAGCUGCUGAGGUCACCACGAAAGCUCUGUGGACAGGCUGCAAAGCCACCAAUCCCACAUCCUUUCCCUACCGUGGUCAGCAUUGCAGAAUGGGAGAAGUUGAGUGAAACACACAGCAGACUCUUAAAACACUCAACUGAGGCUGUCUGUCCAUAAAUGCUAUUGACGGGACAAAGGUACCACUUUCUCAUCAAAGGACUUAAUUCCCAGCACCCGUUGAAACAUCAGUCUACCAUGAAGAGUAACAUUACCAUCAGACGCGGGACGAGGGGAACCUACGAGCUGAUAAAAACUUGCUCUCUGGCCCUUUAAAUCCUGACUUCUGCCCCGAGUGGGGCCUGAAAAGCAAAAAGGAGGGAAAUUGCUUCUAAAACUCCUACCCACCUGCCCUCCCACCUCUCCUGAUGAGGAAGAGACCGAGGGUCAUAGAGAAAUGCCAGCCCAACUCAAGGCAGCAAAAACUCGUUCGGAAGGCUGUGGACUCUGACAAGGGAGCCUUCUUCUCUGAGCAGUGAGGAAUUGGGGGUACACAUUUUGUCCUCGGGGGUGCUGCCACCUGAAU